AACGCUAGCUACAGGCUUAACACAUGCAAGUCGAGGGGCAUCAGGAAGAAAGCUUGCUUUCUUUGCUGGCGACCGGCGCACGGGUGAGUAACACGUAUCCAACCUGCCCUUUACUCGGGGAUAGCCUUUCGAAAGAAAGAUUAAUACCCGAUAGCAUAAUGAUUCCGCAUGGUUUCAUUAUUAAAGGAUUCCGGUAAAGGAUGGGGAUGCGUUCCAUUAGGUUGUUGGUGAGGUAACGGCUCACCAAGCCUUCGAUGGAUAGGGGUUCUGAGAGGAAGGUCCCCCACAUUGGAACUGAGACACGGUCCAAACUCCUACGGGAGGCAGCAGUGAGGAAUAUUGGUCAAUGGGCGUUGGCCUGAACCAGCCAAGUAGCGUGAAGGAUGAAGGCUCUAUGGGUCGUAAACUUCUUUUAUAUAAGAAUAAAGUGCAGUAUGUAUACUGUUUUGUAUGUAUUAUAUGAAUAAGGAUCGGCUAACUCCGUGCCAGCAGCCGCGGUAAUACGGAGGAUCCGAGCGUUAUCCGGAUUUAUUGGGUUUAAAGGGAGCGUAGGUGGACUGGUAAGUCAGUUGUGAAAGUUUGCGGCUCAACCGUAAAAUUGCAGUUGAUACUGUCAGUCUUGAGUACAGUAGAGGUGGGCGGAAUUCGUGGUGUAGCGGUGAAAUGCUUAGAUAUCACGAAGAACUCCGAUUGCGAAGGCAGCUCACUGGACUGCAACUGACACUGAUGCUCGAAAGUGUGGGUAUCAAACAGGAUUAGAUACCCUGGUAGUCCACACAGUAAACGAUGAAUACUCGCUGUUUGCGAUAUACAGUAAGCGGCCAAGCGAAAGCAUUAAGUAUUCCACCUGGGGAGUACGCCGGCAACGGUGAAACUCAAAGGAAUUGACGGGGGCCCGCACAAGCGGAGGAACAUGUGGUUUAAUUCGAUGAUACGCGAGGAACCUUACCCGGGCUUAAAUUGCAGUGGAAUGAUGUGGAAACAUGUCAGUGAGCAAUCACCGCUGUGAAGGUGCUGCAUGGUUGUCGUCAGCUCGUGCCGUGAGGUGUCGGCUUAAGUGCCAUAACGAGCGCAACCCUUAUCUUUAGUUACUAACAGGUUAUGCUGAGGACUCUAGAGAGACUGCCGUCGUAAGAUGUGAGGAAGGUGGGGAUGACGUCAAAUCAGCACGGCCCUUACGUCCGGGGCUACACACGUGUUACAAUGGGGGGUACAGAAGGCAGCUAGCGGGUGACCGUAUGCUAAUCCCAAAAGCCUCUCUCAGUUCGGAUCGAAGUCUGCAACCCGACUUCGUGAAGCUGGAUUCGCUAGUAAUCGCGCAUCAGCCACGGCGCGGUGAAUACGUUCCCGGGCCUUGUACACACCGCCCGUCAAGCCAUGGGAGCCGGGGGUACCUGAAGUACGUAACCGCAAGGAUCGUCCUAGGGUAAAACUGGUGACUGGGGCUA
rnacentral:rRNA from 1 species